GCCUGGGUGGCUCAGUUGGUUAAGCGUCUGACUUCAGCUCAGGUCAAGAUCUCACAGUCUGUGAGUUCGAGCCCCACAUCAGGCU
rnacentral:tRNA from 1 species